GAUGAACGCUGGCGGCGUGCCUAAUACAUGCAAGUCGAGCGAACGGACGAGAAGCUUGCUUCUCUGAUGUUAGAGGCGGACGGGAGAGUAACACGUGGAUAACAUACCUAUAAGACUGGGAUAACUUUGGGAAACCGUAGCUAAUACCGGAUAAUUUUUUGAACCGCAUGGUUCAAAAGUGAAAGACGGUCUUGCUGUGACUAAUAGAUGGAUCCGCGCUGCAUUAGCUAGUUGGUAAGGUAACGGCUUACCAAGGCAACGAUGCAUAGACGACCUGAGAGGCUGAUCGGCCUCACUGGAACUGAAAGACGAUCCGGACUCCUACGGGAGGCAGCCGUAGCGGAUCUACCGCGAUGGGCGCAAUCCUGAAUGAUGAACGCCGCGUGAAUGCUGAAGCUCUUCGGAUCGUGAGACUCAGUUAUUCGGGAAGGUCAUAUGUGUAAGUAACCGUGCACAUCUAGGCGGUACCUAAUCAGAAAGCCACCGCUUACUACCUU
rnacentral:rRNA from 1 species